rnacentral:lncRNA from 1 species
GGGUCACGUCAACAGACGCCAAACGGACAGCAUCUCCCCUGUCCGCCCAAGGCACCAACAACAAGUAUAAUUAAGCAAUCAACAAAGAGAUAUGCAAUUAUACAAGACUUGCACGAGGGCAAGCAACAACGGAAGCGAAAGCUCUAAACUAAGCAUACAACCAUACAUGAUAUUUGAUUAAAUUAAACCAAAUACAAGUGAGCUACAACUAUUACAUUCUUUUUCCAUUCAACAUAAUUCCAUUUACAUCUUAAUCAUUCUCCAAAAUACAUGAAUUAUUUUCAACUUUUACAUCUAUAAAUCAACAAAAGAAAGUUGAUACAUGAAAACAAAAGGGAAUGACUAAAUG